GAUGAACGCUGGCGGCGUGCCUAAUACAUGCAAGUCGAGCGAAUGGAUUAAGAGCUUGCUCUUAUGAAGUUAGCGGCGGACGGGUGAGUAACACGUGGGUAACCUGCCCAUAAGACUGGGAUAACUCCGGGAAACCGGGGCUAAUACCGGAUAACAUUUUGAACCGCAUGGGUCGAAAUUGAAAGGCGGCUUCGGCUGUCCCAUAUGGAUGGACCAGCGUCGCAUUAGCUAGUUGGGGAGGUAACGGCUCACCAAGGCAACGAUGCGUAGCCGACCUGAGAGGGUGAGCGGCCACACUGUGACUGAGACACGGCCCAGACUCCGACGGGAGGCAGCAGUAGGGAAUCUUCCGCAAUGGACGAAAGUCUGACGGAGCAACGCCGCGUGAGUGAUGAAGGCUUGCGGGUCGUAAAACUCUGUUGUUAGGGAAGAACAAGUGCUAGUUGAAUAAGCUGGCACCUUGACGGUACCUAACCAGAAAGCCACGGCUAACUACGUGCCAGCCGCCGCCGUAA
rnacentral:rRNA from 1 species